rnacentral:lncRNA from 1 species
CGAGAUAUAAAUAAUGCAAAGGAACAAUAAUGCAAGGGACACUCGUAAAUAAGUUACUUAAUUAACAAAAUUUAACAAUUAAAUGUGUCUUUAAUUACGAAUGUGAUGUUCAAUCAUAGUCAGAAGCGGAGUCAGAACUGUAAACCUAGAGAGCCGAGAUAUAAAAUAGAGGGGGCCAAAUUUUGAGGUUUGGGGGUGAAUGGCACCCUUGCUCCUAGUGUGGCUCCGUCAGUGAUCAUAGUUAUAGAAUACGUAUCUUGUUGGUAAUAGGUUGUCGAUCACUUGUGUUGGAUACGUAGCUUGCUGGUAAUAGAGUUGUCGAUCACUUAUUGUGUAGCACGGGCGAGCUAUUCCUCUGUGCUAACUCGAUCAAUCUACAAAUUGAAUCCUACUUGCUAGUAGCUACAUUCUCAGUUUCUCAGUCAUUCUACGCAAGAACAAACAUGUUCAUGGUCAAGACUCAAGACGCACUCGAGUUGCUAUAAAUAUCCACCAUACCUAAACGUUGUCUAUCUGGAAAACCAGAGAAGCUUGGCCCCGCCGGGAAACAACAAUAAUCUAGAGCUCACCGUACAGGGAAUCAAAGAUCCCGCAAUCCAUGCUGUCAGGUGGGUCGGCACGUGCGCCAUCCCCAGUGGUCCCCACCCCCACCCUGGAACCUCCUGUUCACACGUGGAGACCUGGUGGUGCGUGUCGGCAACAGUGCUCAGUCUUCAGGGGAAUUUACUCUUUGAUCGCCAAUAAUGCUGCUAACGUGGGGAGAGAACCCCCACGUGGGGCAUCGUCAAUCGUCCGAUACGCUCUGGGUUGACCGGUCCGUACGAGUCAACGGACCCGUGGAGAAGAGUGCGAGUUUUAGUCUUUUACCACAUCUGGAUAUGAACUAGGGUUCUUUGGUUUGCUACUCGUGCGUGCCUAGCUACUUAUCUAUGGGACUCUUUCUCACGUGAUUCACCUGUGGGGACCGAUUUCUUCUUCUUCGAUCUUCUUCCUCCUUCUCCGAUUCCGAUCAUCCAAUUGGGUUCUGUCUGCAUCUUUAGUCGUGUGGAGGAAUGGGAAUGGUUGUCUUAAGAGCUUUGAGAUUCUCAUGCCAUAUAUAAAAUGGUGUUGCUGCUCCCUCUUGCUUGUUUCGUCUCCAUGAGACUGAGCUUUUGUGUGUACGAGGAGGACAAAGCUUCACCAGAUAGACCUAGGUAGAUACACACUCUUAAGUACUCCUAAACCUAGAUAUAUUACCAGAUAUAUAUGCUACUUGCUUACUUAAUUUGCUGUUUGUGAUCGGGAUCCUGGUAGUAUUUAGUUUCUUAUGUGAUUAGGAACAAGGGUUUCGUAUUCCAACCCUAAUUGUAACUGGGAUAGGUUUACUUCAAGAUAAUUCUAAUCGUAGGUGGAAUAGGGUCUCCUUUAAAUCAAUCAAACAUAUAAGUACCUACCUAGUAGGGGACAAAAUCAC